rnacentral:rRNA from 1 species
UACGUAGGGUGCAAGCGUUAAUCGGAAUUACUGGGCGUAAAGCGUGCGCAGGCGGCUUUGCAAGACAGAUGUGAAAUCCCCGGGCUCAACCUGGGAACUGCAUUUGUGACUGCAAGGCUAGAGUACGGUAGGAGGGGAUGGAAUUCCGCGUGUAGCAGUGAAAUGCGUAGAUAUGCGGAGGAACACCGAUGGCGAAGGCAAUCCCCUGGGCCUGCACUGACGCUCAUGCACGAAAGCGUGGGGAGCAAACAGG